GGACCCAUAGUCUAGCGGUCAUGACGUAACCUUGACGUGGUUAAGGUCCCCAGUUCAAAUCUGGGUGGGUCCA
rnacentral:tRNA from 2 species